rnacentral:rRNA from 1 species
GACGAACGCUGGCGGCGUGCCUAAUACAUGCAAGUAGAACGCUGAAGGAGGAGCUUGCUUCUCUGGAUGAGUUGCGAACGGGUGAGUAACGCGUAGGUAACCUGCCUUGUAGCGGGGGAUAACUAUUGGAAACGAUAGCUAAUACCGCAUAAUAGUAGAUGUCGCAUGACAUUUGCUUAAAAGGUGCAAUUGCAUCACUACCAGAUGGACCUGCGUUGUAUUAGCUAGUUGGUGAGGUAACGGCUCACCAAGGCAACGAUACAUAGCCGACCUGAGAGGGUGAUCGGCCACACUGGGACUGAGACACGGCCCAGACGGCUACGGGAGGGAGCAGGAGGGAAUCGUCGGCAAUGGACGGAAGUCUGAGCGAGCAACGCCGCGGGAGUGAAGAAGGUUGUCGGAUCGUAAAGCUCGGUUGUAAGAGAAGAACGAGUGUGAGAGUGGAAAGUUCACACUGUGACGGUAUCUGACCAGAAAGGGACGGCUAACUACGUG